ensembl:lncRNA
AAAAUUUGUAAGACUUGAAAUUUGCAUUUCUUUACUUUGUCUUUUGCUACUUAAUUCUUUGUAGAGCAUACCCCCCAGCUUUUCUUCCUGUCUCCAUACCCCUAUGCCCCAUAGAAAUAGGCUAAGAAAAAAAUCACACUCUUGUCCCUUUAACCAGUUUUUUUUUACUUUAAUAGUACCAGAUCUUGCAAUUAUUAAAAAAAUAUGUCAAAAACUGACUUUUUUGAAGACCAAACAUUCAAAAUAUCAAAACAGAAUAUGGUGUAUAUUUAAAUUCUUCCUGUGGUAUGAUUUUUUAACUUGAAAGUAAUUACUUGAAAAAAAAUGAAAAGAGUUUGGGGAAAAGAUUAGAUUUCACAGAUUCCAACCAGUAGCUAUUGUUUGUAUAAUUACAAAGAACCACUGAUUGAUUGUGCAGCAGGCCAGAGAGGGCCAUUUAAAAGAAAAUACUUUUAAAACAAAUAUUUGCCUGAAUUACAGCUCUUGAUAAAUGGAUCAGAAUUAUAUAAGCACAUGGUAGAAUUGACAUAUGUCAAGUCUGUUAAAUAAAUCAGCCUGUUCAAUGAAUAAAUCUUCGAUGCAUCAGUGUUUUGUUAACACACACAUGUGCACAUGCAGACACACAUGUGCACACCCGUAAUAUCCCCAUUGCCAAAGUGAAACAAGUGCAGGACACUGCUGCUUUCUGUUUCACUCACUGUCUUUCUCCCAUCUUUUUCUUUUUUUCCCCCACAAUCUGAUUACCUGUAAGCUACCCAGAGAGCAAAGCAAACUAAAGAUAUGCUGUCGCUUCGCUUUGCUUGUGUUUUCAGAGGUAGAAGAGAGAAAGGAAAAGCUAUAACGGCCGGAUUUCAAACACUCAAAGGCGUGCUCAUAGAACCGUAACACAAUCACGGUGGAGGUUCUAGUCUCACUGAGGUAUUUGCUUAGGAGAUGGGCUGUCUUAACCAAAGAGGCACUGAUUGCGGUCUCUAUGUUCCUAAAUCCAGUACUAGAGGUUUUUUUUUCUUCUGCAAGCCCCUUCCUUUGUAGUAAGAGGAGAUUCUAGUUGGCCUUUGACUAUUAUAUGUAAACUUUUUUAUCUGUCAGCGUACCUGUGGUUAAAACGUUCUUGCUGGCAGUAAGCAAAAGAAGAGAGAAGGAUCAAAAGAAUGAUACAGGAGGAGAAGGAUUCACUAGAUAGCCCAGCUUUCACCCUUCAUCAAAGAAACUUCUCUCUUGCAAUGGACAGACACCGUUGUAGAAAACCACAUUCAGUCAAAAUGCAGUUAACAACUGAUCUCUGGGGUGCCCACUUCCAGAAAAUACAUCAAGAAGAACACAAUUCCUGUACCUAAGGCUCAGGAGACAUCAGUAAUGAAAGGAGCAGAAAGAUGGUAAGAGCUUGAGGACCAGGGAAUCUGUGUGAGAUUACGUCUCCUGUAAAUGACAGGGAGGGUUCACUCGUGAUACAUCAGCAGUACUGCUACCUAAACAAGAUCCGAACAAAGGCAGUACCAAUAGACAUGC